rnacentral:rRNA from 1 species
CCUACGGGGGGCAGCAGUAGGGAAUCUUCCACAAUGGACGAAAGUCUGAUGGAGCAACGCCGCGUGAGUGAAGAAGGGUUUCGGCUCGUAAAGCUCUGUUGGUAGUGAAGAAAGAUAGAGGUAGUAACUGGCCUUUAUUUGACGGUAAUUACUUAGAAAGUCACGGCUAACUACGUGCCAGCAGCCGCGGUAAUACGUAGGUGGCCAGCGUUGUCCGGAUUUAUUGGGCGUAAAGCGAGUGCAGGCGGUUCAAUAAGUCUGAUGUGAAAACCUUCGGCUCAAACCGGGAAUUUCAUCCGAAAAUG